GGAAGAAAGCAAUGUCCAGCCUGUGAAAAGCCCUGUAACUAUCUGUGGUGAUAUUCAUGGACAAUUCCAUGAUCUGGCGGAGCUUUUCCGCAUUGGAGGAAAGUGCCCAGAUACAAACUAUUUGUUUAUGGGAGAUUAUGUGGACCGUGGCUAUUAUUCAGUUGAAACAGUGACAGUAAGUACGAGUAUUUUUAUUUCUACUUAU